UACGUAGGGUGCGAGCGUUAAUCGGAAUUACUGGGCGUAAAGGGCGCGUAGGCGGUCACGACAAGUCAGUUGUGAAAUCUCCGGGCUUAACUCGGAACGGUCAACUGAUACUGUCGGACUAGAGUGCAGAAGGGGCAACUGGAAUUCUCGGUGUAGCGGUGAAAUGCGUAGAUAUCGAGAGGAACACCUGCGGCGAAGGCGGGUUGCUGGGCUGACACUGACGCUGAGGCGCGAAAGCUAGGGGAGCGAACGGG
rnacentral:rRNA from 1 species